rnacentral:rRNA from 1 species
UACGGGGGGAGCAAGCGUUGUUCGGAAUUACUGGGCGUAAAGGGCUCGUAGGCGGCCAACUAAGUCAGACGUGAAAUCCCUCGGCUUAACCGGGGAACUGCAUCUGAUACUGGAUGGCUUGAGUUCGGGAGAGGGAUGCGGAAUUCCAGGUGUAGCGGUGAAAUGCGUAGAUAUCGGGAGGAACACCAAUGGCGAAGGCAGCUCGCUGGGACGUGACUGACGCUGAGACGCGAAAGCGUGGGGAGCAAACAGG